CCUACGGGAGGCAGCAGUGGGGGAUAUUGCACAAUGGGGGAAACCCUGAUGCAGCAACGCCGCGUGAGUGAAGAAGUCUUUCGGUAUGUUAAGCUCUAUCAGCAGGGUAGUGAAUGACGGUACCUGACUCAGAAGCCCCGGCUAACUACGUGCCAGCAGCCGCGGUAAUACGUAGGGGGCGAGCGUUAUCCGGAUUUACUGGGUGUAAAGGGAGCGUAGUCGGCUGGUCAAGUCUGAAGUGAAAUGCCGGGGCUUAACCCCGGAACUGCUUUGGAAACUGAGCAGCUAGAGUGCUGGAGAGGUAGGCGGAAUUCCUAGUGUAGCGGUGAAAUGCGUAGAUAUGAGGAGGAACACCAGUUGCGAAGGCGGCUUACUGGACAGGAACUGACGUUGAGGCUCGAAAGCGUGGGGAGCAAACAGGAUUAGAUACCCGAGUAGUC
rnacentral:rRNA from 1 species